CCUACGGGAGGCAGCAGUGGGGAAUAUUGGACAAUGGAUGGAAAUCUGAUCCAGCCAUGCCGCGUGCAGGAAGACGGCCCUAUGGGUUGUAAACUGCUUUUAUAUGGGAGCAAUAAGGUCUACGCGUAGACCGAUGAGAGUACCAUAUGAAUAAGCAUCGGCUAACUCCGUGCCAGCAGCCGCGGUAAUACGGAGGAUGCGAGCGUUAUCCGGAUUUAUUGGGUUUAAAGGGUGCGUAGGCGGCCUUAUAAGUCAGCGGUGAAAUUUUGCAGCUUAACUGUAACAGUGCCGUUGAUACUGUAGGGCUAGGAUUUGGUUGCUGUGGGUGGAAUGUGUGGUGUAGCGGUGAAAUGCUUAGAUAUCACACAGAAUAUCGAUUGCGAAGGCAGCUCACAAAGCCAAGAUUGACGCUGAGGCACGAAAGUGUGGGGAUCAAACAGGCUUAGAUACCCGAGUAGUC
rnacentral:rRNA from 1 species